CUCUUAGUCACAGCUGAUGGGAGUGGCUAAUGAAAGACCCCUGGAGCGGGGAAACCCUCACUCAAGUCUCGGGAUGACUCGACCCCCCAAGAACGCACGUGAGACC
rnacentral:pre_miRNA from 14 species